CGAGGGGUAGCAGGAAAAAGCUUGCUUUUUUGCUGACGACCGGCGCACGGGUGCGUAACGCGUAUGCAAUCUACCUUUUGCUGAGGGAUAGCCCAGAGAAAUUUGGAUUAAUACCUCAUAGUAUGAUGACUUGGCAUCAAGAUAUCAUUAAAGGUUACGGCAAAAGAUGAGCAUGCGUUCUAUUAGCUAGUUGGUGUGGUAACGGCAUACCAAGGCAACGAUAGAUAGGGGUCCUGAGAGGGAGAUCCCCCACACUGGUACUGAGACACGGACCAGACUCCUACGGGAGGCAGCAGUGAGGAAUAUUGGACAAUGGAGGCAACUCUGAUCCAGCCAUGCCGCGUGCAGGAAGACUGCCCUAUGGGUUGUAAACUGCUUUUAUACAGGAAGAAACACCUCUACGUGUAGAGGCUUGACGGUACUGUAAGAAUAAGGAUCGGCUAACUCCGUGCCAGCAGCCGCGGUAAUACGGAGGAUCCAAGCGUUAUCCGGAAUCAUUGGGUUUAAAGGGUCCGUAGGUGGAUAAUUAAGUCAGAGGUGAAAUCCUGCAGCUUAACUGUAGAAUUGCCUUUGAUACUGGUUGUCUUGAGUUAUUAUGAAGUGGUUAGAAUAUGUAGUGUAGCGGUGAAAUGCAUAGAUAUUACAUAGAAUACCAAUUGCGAAGGCAGAUCACUAAUAAUAUACUGACACUGAUGGACGAAAGCGUGGGGAGCGAACAGGAUUAGAUACCCUGGUAGUCCACGCCGUAAACGAUGGUCACUAGCUGUUCGGAUUUCGGUCUGAGUGGCUAAGCGAAAGUGAUAAGUGACCCACCUGGGGAGUACGUUCGCAAGAAUGAAACUCAAAGUGACGGGGCCGCACAACGGGGACAUGUGGU
rnacentral:rRNA from 1 species